UACGAAGGGGGCUAGCGUUGCUCGGAAUCACUGGGCGUAAAGCGCACGUAGGCGGCUAAGUAAGUCGGGCGUGAAAUCCCACGGCUCAACCGUGGAAGUGCACUCGAAACUGCAUAGCUAGAGUCCUGGAGAGGAAGGUGGAAUGCUUGGUGUAGAGGUGAAAUUCGUAGAUAUCAAGCGGAACACCGGUGGCGAAGGCGGCCUUCUGGACAGUGACUGACGCUGAGACGCGAAAGCGUGGGGAGCAAACAGGG
rnacentral:rRNA from 1 species